rfam:Emmonsia sp. CAC-2015a strain CBS 136260 supercont2.1503, whole genome shotgun sequence.
CCUCAUCCACCUGCUCCGGGGCAAUAAAAUGGAUAUGAGUAUCCACACCACCGGCGGUGAUUAUGUUCCUUUCCCCAGAAAUCACAUCGGUACCAGCCCCAACAAUCAUAUUCGGAGAGACACCCUCCAUAAUGUCCGGGUUCCCAGCUUUUCCGAUACCGACAAUAUUUCCCUCCUUAAUACCAAUAUCGGCCACGUAAAUCCCGGUCCAAUCGAUAAUAAGGGCGUUCGUAAUAACAGUAUCCAGUACCUCGUCCGAACAUCUUCCGGAAGCUUGGCCCAUGCCUUCUCUUAAUG